rnacentral:rRNA from 1 species
CCUACGGGAGGCAGCAGUGAGGAAUAUUGGUCAAUGGGCGCGAGCCUGAACCAGCCAAGUAGCGUGAAGGAUGACUGCCCUACGGGUUGUAAACUUCUUUUAUAAAGGAAUAAAGUGAGGCACGUGUGCCUCUUUGUAUGUACUUUAUGAAUAAGGAUCGGCUAACUCAGGGCCAGCAGCCGCGGUAAUACGGAGGAUCCGAGCGUUAUCCGGAUUUAUUGGGUUUAAAGGGAGAGUAGAUGGGUUGUUAAGUCAGUUGUGAAAGUUUGCGGCUCAACCGUAAAAUUGCAAUUGAUACUGGCAGUCUUGAGUACAGUUGAGGUAGGCGGAAUUCGUGGUGUAGCAGGGAAAUGCUUAGAUAUCACGAAGAACUCCGAUUGCGAAGGCAGCUUACUAAACUGCCACUGACAUUGAUGCUCGAAAGUGUGGGUAUCAAACAGGAUUAGAUACCCUGGUAGUC